rnacentral:rRNA from 1 species
GUAAUGCGUGGGAAGCUGCCCGAUAGAGGGGGAUACCAGUUGGAAACGACUGUUAAUACCGCAUAAUGUCUACGGACCAAAGUGUGGGACCUUCGGGCCACAUGCUAUCGGAUGCGCCUACGUGGGAUUAGCUAGUUGGUGAGGUAAUGGCUCACCAAGGCGACGAUCUCUAGCUGGUUUGAGAGGAUGAUCAGCCACACUGGAACUGAGACACGGUCCAGACUCCUACGGGAGGCAGCAGUGGGGAAUAUUGGACAAUGGGCGCAAGCCUGAUCCAGCCAUGCCGCGUGUGUGAAGAAGGCCUUCGGGUUGUAAAGCACUUUCAGCGAGGAGGAAGGGGUAGUAGUUAAUAGCUGCUACUUUUGACGUUACUCGCAGAAGAAGCACCGGCUAACUCUGUGCCAGCAGCCGCGGUAAUACAGAGGGUGCAAGCGUUAAUCGGAAUUACUGGGCGUAAAGCGCACGUAGGCGGUUAGUUAAGUUGGAUGUGAAAGCCCCGGGCUCAACCUGGGAAUUGCAUUCAAAACUGGCUAACUAGAAUACGGGAGAGGGGGGUAGAAUUCCAAGUGUAGCGGUGAAAUGCGUAGAGAUUUGGAGGAAUACCAGUGGCGAAGGCGGCCCCCUGGCCCGAUAUUGACGCUGAGGUG